rnacentral:rRNA from 1 species
UACGUAGGGGGCAAGCGUUGUCCGGAAUUAUUGGGCGUAAAGCGCGUGUAGGCGGCCAGAUAAGUCCGCUGUGAAAUCUCGAGGCUCAACUUCGAGCUGUCGGUGGAAACUGUCUGGCUAGAGUCCGGAAGAGGAGAAUGGAAUUCCUGGUGUAGCGGUGAAAUGCGCAGAUAUCAGCAAGAACACCAGUGGCGAAGGCGGCUCACUGGUCCGGUACUGACGCUGAGGUGCGAAAGCGUGGGGAGCAAACAGG